CAAGUUUGUUUGCUGAAGCACUCAAAAUGAUGACCUUUGGAUAAAGACACAAAUCUGAAUCAAUUUUCCUUGAAAUCUUGAUUGAUAAAAGCAAUUCUUGACAAGGAAUUGACAAUAAUUCAAAGGGUUUGAGCUGCAGACCUCUUUCACCUCAUCUUCUAGUGCUGAAAAGAGGAAGGUAGAGCAUUAUUACAUGUCAAAGAAUAUCCCUAGCCGGGAAUCAAAGUUUUGGUCCGUCAUCUCUUCCCAGAACUCCUUUAAUUCAUCUUGUGUAAUUCCAUUCUCUGGUUCCAGGUUCCUCCGUCUUGCUAGGGCGGCAAAAAGCUCCCCAGCAAACUCCUUAGAAUCAGCCAUCCCUUUCAAAAGGAAUUCAGCUUGAAUAUUAGAACCGCAUAACUUCGUGCCUAGAUCUUUUGCUUCUAGUUCUCCCUACUUCGGCUAUUAUUUGUAUGGAAUGGAAAAUUUUACCUUGCAAACAUUAGUUAUCAUUGGUAUUGAGCUUGUGGUGCUUAUGUUAUGCUCGAUUAAGAUCCUUUUUUCCUCAGAAAUGCCCUUGAUUUUGCAUUGCUUAAUAUAAAUUUCCAUAGCAGUCAAAUCAAAUGUACACUGGUUCACAAAUCUAAUAUUCUUAUUCAAGUUGUUAUGAUCUAUAUGUUUAUAGUCUCUCUGUCUAUUCUACCAUAAUAUGAGAAUACAGAAAGGUGCUCUGACAUUGAUGGACCAAUAUACAGGUUGAUGCAGAGGGACAGUGUUUACAAGGACCUCAAAAGUGCUGAAAUACUGAGAAAGAUGAAGAUUUGCUUGAGGAAGCAAAGAGAGACUAACCAAUGCAGCGCCCGAAAUUCUCCUUGGGUAGCCUUCCAUUGACGGCAAAUUGGUCGAACCGCUUCUCCACCACCUUCCAUCCAUCCUCCUUCCCGCCCGUUGUUUUAUCGAGAAAGCGAAGGCUCUUGAGCCCCAAUUCUGCGUUAGACUGCGUCCUCCGCAUUCGCCUGCCAAAUGGAUGCCUCACUGCUUCCCUGACCGGCGCACGCGGUGAGAACCGUCUCAACUCCUUGAUCUUCUUGGGCUGGGACAUCAAAGUUCUUGCAAGGCUUCGCUGUGGUUCGACUCUCAGAGGUUUUGGGGCUGCUGAAUUCUGCACAAAUGGAAUUGAAGCUUCAUGAACCGAUCGGUUGUCCAUGCCGUGAAUCAUGAUGCUCUCAAGCUCAUGUGCUGAAGGAUCG